rnacentral:rRNA from 1 species
AUACGGAGGAUGCGAGCGUUAUCCGGAUUUAUUGGGUUUAAAGGGAGCGUAGGCGGGAGCUUAAGUCAGCGGUUAAAUGGUGCGGCUCAACCGUGCCCUGCCGUUGAAACUGGGUUUCUUGAGAGUGCAAGAGGCGGAUGGCAUUCAUGGGGUAGCGGUGAAAUGCUUAGAUAUCAUGAAGAACUCCGAUUCAGAAGGCAGUACGCUGGGGCACGGCUGACGAUUAUGCUCGAAUGUGCGCGAAUCAAACAGGAUUAGAUGCCCUGGUAGUCCGCAGGGUAAGCGAUGAAUACCCGAUGUCGGCGGCAGACAGUCGGCGGCCAAGCGAAAGCGAUAAGUAAUACACCUGGGGAGUACGCCGGCAACGGUGAAACUCACAGGAAUUGACGGGG